ensembl:lncRNA
AAUGAAUAACAGAUCUUUGUUAGUAUGUAUAACAAGGCAAACAAACAACAACAAACAGAACCAGAGCCCCGAGCACAGCCGACUCUGGGCCGCAGGCACUUCCCUCGGUGCAGUUCCGCUCACGGCCGGCGGGGGUGCUGCUGGCUCCCGGCCGGGCAGGGCGGGGCGAUGAUUCCCGCGCGCCUGCGGGGGGCGCUGUGGCGCCAGCCCGGCCGUGUCUCCCUCACGCGGUAAUGGCGGGCAGGCUGGAUGGUGAAGUGGGCUGCAGCAGGAACCUCGGAGCAGUGGAAUGGCAGGCACCAACAGACCCCGGUGUAGCACAGAAACGUGUCAGAAACUCCACAGCUGUGGCAGGAGUGUCCUGACAGGCAGGGUUCAGGCUUACAGUGUAACAAAAAAGCCUGGAGCUGUCGCAGAGAAACAGCAGGGCUGGGCUGUGGCAGCCGGGCUCCCGAGGGCCGCCAGGAGAGGCUCCUUUGGAAGGGUUUUCCCCUGAGGCACCUGAGCAGAUGGUGAGGGUCCUUUCCAGUGAGGUAGGCUGUUAGUAAGGUCCCAGUUCAGUGGCUCCUCUUCCGAGCAAAGGCGCACCCACAGCAAGGAAGAGGCAGUACAAGGCUGGGCUGCGGCGGUGGGAAUGAAAUCCCCCCGCAGUAAGCAACAGCUCGGCCGUUCUCCUGCAGUGCUGACAGCGAGAGAGCGAGCCCUCACCCCCAGCCAAAAUCCCACGGUACCUCUGCCCUUCUGGAGAGGAAACCAGACAGGUAAGAGAGUGGCCAGCUGCACCCUUCUCUCACCUUGGUCUUUUAUCUCUUUAAGUAUUGAUGGUUAUUGUCUCUUAGCAACAAAUGGGAGAAAAUUCACCCUCCCCUCCUCCCCCCCAAAAAAGGGAGAAAUCCUAACCCCACAGAGGGAAAUCUCAUAAUCAGGAUGAAUUGAGAAUGGAGAUUAGAAGAAGGAGAUGGGUAGGAUUGCCAAUUUACAUUCUGAAAGUGGUGUGGUUAAGGGGCACAGGAAGUGUGGACCACCUUUUUUUGAGUGCACUUAGUACCUUAAAUCCAGGUCUUCAUGGAUCAUUCGAGAGUUUAGAAACUGAGGCAAAAACAGUUUAAAAAAAAAGUCUUUCCAGAUGUGUAAACUCUAAGCAGAACUGGAAGUAGAUCCUAGGAGUCCUGCCUCUUAAUUCCCUUCUCUGGGCACAGAAAAUCUUCUUUGAUUUUCUGCAAGUGUUUCUCGCUGUAGGUGUACAUUAGCUUGCUCUCAUGGACAAUUGCAUUCAGCUGUUAGCAAGGUUAAUAAUAUUAAAACAAAAUGGCUGGAUGUCUCUAGAGGUCGACAGGGGAGCACAAGAUGCUCUAAUAAGAGCCGCACUAAGAGGAAAGAGAUGAAUGCAGCACAAGAAUGAGCCUUUUAAUGGCCCAUUAAGAAGAAAAAUGACAUACAGAAGUUGAGGCUAUAUUUUUGUUUUGAUAAUUGUUUCCUAAGAAUAUGUUGCAUUCUAUGCAGAGGAUCAGUCAAAUGUUUUGUUGUGAGUUUUAAAGGCUUUAGCUAAUAAAGGAAGGUUACUGGUGUGUGAAUGCAUAAUGUUAAAGCAUUUCUCUUGGUCAAAACUUAAAACACACAGUGAGUGUCAGCAUCCCUCAACAGUGGUAUAUGUUACACAAAGCAUUGCUCAGCCCACAGUCAGUGUGAGCCCACACAGCCCAAGCCAUGAGUCCCCUUCCUGAGCUGUGUUUGCUGUCUCCUGACCUGCUGGGGAUGGCAGGGUCUCUCAGCCCUUCAGAUAAAUGCCUUAGGCAGGCAAGUGCUGACAAUCAGUGGCAGACAGUGGUUAUCUGCCACACAGUCCAGCAGGCAGGACAAGCAUUGUUAACAUCAGUGAGUCCUGAGGAGAAUCAAAGCAUUUGGGUGUCAGAGUACAUGGGGUCUUUGCUGCUUCUAUUUCUCACUACUAAUACUUUUUAAUCCCUGCUCCCAUUCUGGUCAUAUAAAAACAAAUAAGUCUUGAUGACAGUCUUCUUUCCUCCCAUUUUGCCUCUUAUUUUACUCAGAUUUCAGGGGGACAAUCCUGAGCUUACAGGAGAUGUCUCUGCAGAAGUUAGUAUUGGUACCCCUCCAUCAGUGGUUUUGGAGACAGUGAGACGGGUGGGGAGGUUGCCAUAGGAUGUAUAGGAGAGAACAUAGAAAGUCUAAAGCUUUGCUGUGGAAGAACUGUCAUUUUCCCUUUUAGUGCCCUCCAGAAAGCCACCUAUAUAUGCCUCUCAUCCUCUUUCUGCUAUGGGGUAGCCUUUUGUUUGAUGAGGUCUUGACAAGCCUGGGCUCAAAGUGUCCUUUUCAGGGCAGGUACAAGUCCUUCAGUGUAUGCUUCUGGGUACUUCUUACAGUAGCAUGUUGUGCUGUUGUCCUGGGGUCAGCACUCAGAACUUCUUCUGAAUAAGCAAUACUUUCAAUAUUAGUUCUAACUUAGGUAAAACUAAUGAGAUUGGGUAUUCUGGGAGGUAAGGAGCUAUCUAGCUGGGCAUCUCAAAUGCCCAUUGCAAAUAUAGGUUGGGCACAUAUUUUAAUUGAGAACAUCUUCCUUCCUGAGGAUUUCAUUUGGUUGUGAUCAGAGCUGCAUAAAGGACAAAGUAGGGAAACACCAGCCUUUGAGGGGAGUGAAAUCUCUAAGAUACAGAAAAGGUGAGGAAUCAGUGACAUGAGGUUUGGGCAAACAAAGUGUGAUUGAAUGUUUUGGCUCCAUGCAGUACUGAUUGCAGUACUUUGUCCCAGAUACAGGCCAUGGUCUGGAGUUAUUCACAGGCAUUUCAGAAUACAGUUUCUAUGAAAUAUGCCAUCCUAAAAAAAGCAGUAUUGAUUCAAAGAAAAGUAAUAAACUUUACAUGACAUAAAAGAGAGAAAGGAAAUGCUUGUUGAGAAUCAGGACCACCUCAGAAAAGGAUAUGAAGCUGGAAAUAGAGUUACUUGGAACUGUAAGUCCCAAGCUGUUACUGUCCUCCACUGAGGGAGAAAUGAGUGAGGGGACAAGAGCCCAGGGAACUAGAGGUACUUUUGCCUUUGUGCAUAGAAUGUCCUGGAACUGCCCUUACCCUGGGAACUUGAUGAUCUUCCACUCAAUUCACUUUAUGAAAUACCAGGUGUUCUGAACAGUUACUUAGUGCUGAUUUCUUAGUCCCAUUUAAUGAUCCUCUGAGUGGCAUUGUGGGCUGAAUACAUCUUUCUCCCACCCAGUCUUUGCUGUUCUAGCUCCAGUGGCAGACGAGGAAAGGAAAGUAAUUUCUGACCUCCCCUAAGGUAGGUGUUACAGAUGACAUACUCUCCUGUGCAGAUAAGAGAGAGGCAAGUAAAGACCUUGGCACAACUUUAAGUUCUUUCUCUCCUUAUGCUCCUGCCCUUUACUACCUAUGUGUGCUCAACAAAGACAAAUGAUAUUCUGGGUAUCACUCCAAUAAACAACCUAUUUGUACCAAAGAACAACAAAAUGUAUAAACUUUCACCUGCAAGUCAUAUUGCCUGGGGUAAGACUGAGGGCAUGAUGGGAAUAGCUGAGCUGGUGAAGAAUAGCCAGGGAAGAGUGUGAUUUUCUGAGCUGGCAAGUAGGUGCUGUGUAAGAGACCAGGGAUCUCUUGGUGUCAUGGGGUCACCUAUGUCAAAGCAAAAAUUGAUGGAGUUCAUCUCCAUGAGUUGAAGUCUGAUGUAGAAUUGAAAUCAUUUUCAGUGAAGGAGGAAAUAUUCCAGCCUUUCCUUUCAUUUAAGGGAAAGGCUGGAAUAGCUACACACUGAGCUUCAGAGGCUAUUAUUCAACAAUCUCCUUUGGCAAGUGGGAUACGGUUGAGGGAAAUAUAAAAUAUCCCUAAAAUGCGUAUGUGCCUGUGCAUUCAUGUCCUUUCUCACACAUGCAUCCAAGUAUGUGUGAGCUAGGGCAGGCACCCAAACCCAGCUCAAAAGAGCACAUCCAUUCUUUGUAGUUUCCAAGAGGGUGUUACAGCUGGCAUUGCAGCAGCCACUGUAGUACAACAGAACAACUAUGAUGUGCUUCUCAGCAUCAUGAAAUCAGGAAUUUAAAGCCAAAACAUCUCCUCACUCCUAUUGAUAUUAGCACUCCGACUAACACUUGCUUGUUAUUGAGUAUAGUUCUAAAAACGGCAUUUUACUUGUGCUGAAUUGUCUGCAGUUCUAAGGAAUAUCUGGUUUUAGGCUGUAAGACUUGAUUUAGAUUAAACGUGAUGACAAAUUUAAAAAAUAGAAGUACUUACUGCUGUCUGAAUCAUAGUGCAGUAGAUUGCUUUCAUAAGAUGGCAGGUCUUCCUAAAAAGGUGCAGAGAGGAUAUGAUCCAAACUAAGGUGAAUUCACCACAUCUCCCUUGCUCAUGCUAAGUCAGUAGGGUUCAGGCUGAGCAUGAAAUAAAAACUCAUCUAUUUUUGUGAUCAGCUGUGGAUAUAAUACAGAGCAUGAAAUCUGGGAAGGAGGUUAAAAACCUGUUUGAAAGCCCAAGGUACCCUUCCAUGUAAGAAAUACUCCAGCAGUGUAGGGAGAGCUUGAAGGCUUUUGCUUUAGGAAGGAAAGGGCUCUGGCAUUGUGGGCAAAAUGGGCAAGGUGCCCAAAACAUUUCUGUAUGAAUGAGGGGUGCUCUGAGAAGGAACAUGUCAGGCUUUCUGCCCUAAAGGCUGUGGGCUGCAGCAUUUCAGGGAGCACAACCAAGCUAUGAUCAAACAUAUUCCUUUCAUUGCAACAGAUCACAAGAUGGUUUUUCAGCAGACAUUCAAUUAUUGCACAAAACAGAUGGUUGAGCAUAAAGGGAAAGUUCUUUUUUUAGACAAAGCUACUCUUGCCUUAGAACUCCUGUAAUCAAAAAACAUAUUUGUAGCAGCUGGCUACUCCUGCCUCUGCAGGCUUUUUGAAUCUACAUCAGACUUUCAAAGGUACAGGUUUAUGAAAGUGUCUCUGAGAUACUGGAAUAUAAUGUCAGACUAAAGUAUGAAAAGUGUUGCAGCGCAGGUAAAUAAUAAAUAGCACCUUUUCCAAUGCUGUCACCUUCUUAAGAGGAACACUAAAAUAAUGGUGUUCCUUUCCUUCUAAAUUUAUUGUCCAUCAGUGACUGCCAGGUGAAAUCCAUUGGUUAUACAAGGAGUGACAAUUUACACUCCCACUACCCCUUCCUCCUUGCCCUCUGUCUCUCCAGCUGCCACUGCCAGCCCUGGACUGCGCCCUGGGAGCAGCCACUCUCCUGGGGACUUCUCUCCAGCGCUGGAACUGCCAUGGCAGAGCAGCACACCUUCUGCUGCUCUCGACACUUCAGUACAGUCUCUGCACUUGUCAGUCACUUUCAGGCUUCUCUUAAAAUUUGGCAGUGGCUCUUUUUUCCCAUGCUGAAGCCUCUGAUUCAGGGAACCAUGUCCCUUGUGCUUUGAAGGUCAUGCUGGGAUUGCCUGCCUGUGCUGCUCCAAGGGGAUACCCUGCUCACCUGCUAACCCAUCUGUGUCCUGGAAGAACUCUGUUUUCUAUGGAUAGAAAAUGAAAGAAUUAACACUUUCUUGGUUGUUAGGUUUUGUGCACCUUCCUUUCUUCAAGUGUGUAUUUGGGACAUGGAGGAAUGUACAAAACCUUUAUGUCCCUUAAAAUGUACCAUUAACUUCACUACAAACCUGCCAGGGAUAUGGCAAAUCCAUGACUAAAUGCAAGAGGGCAUCAGGAUGAGUAAGUACAAUGACAGUGCUGAGCAAGGCAGAUCAUUGUUGAUCCAAGAAAGCAAGCACUUGCAAGGUUCCUGUGUUAAACAGUGAGGUGUUUUAAGUUAAAGUCUCCAAAAAGAAGCACCUGAAAGAGAACACAAAACCUUUCCAGCGAUGGAAAAUACAGAGGUUCUUGAAUUCGCUCUAUUGUUUGUGGAAUUCAGCAGUACAAACUAGUGUAGAGUUUGCAUGGAAUUGAAAUAAAAAGAUGUUUAAAGUAUCUCCUGCAAGCCAAAUCAAACCAGAUUAUUCAUUAUAGUUAUCAUGCAAGUGUGUGUGUGUGUGUGUGUGUGUGUGUGUGUGUGUGUGCACCUAUCGCAGAAUGUACUGAUAAUAUCUGGAAUGUUAACAUGAAAAAAUAUCAUUGCAAAAGAAAUCUCACUGCAAAGUAAAUGUUUGUGUUCAACCUGAAGUAUUUUGCUCUGCUGAUAGACCCAACAUGGGAUGAGUAGGCAAGUUCUACAGCUUCUACUCCAUGUCUGCAUAGCUUCAGUUGUGCCACAACAUAGGUACAAAAUGGGCUGUCUCAUCUGAAGCCAACCUGAAAGACAGAUUGGGAAGUUAACUUGGGUUCAAGUGUCAAGGAAAUAAAGUUAUCACUCUUUUCUGAGGCAGGGACAUUACAGGCAAGCAUCUGAUAAGCUAAUUUUACGUUGUCUCAAAGGUGACUAUAAAAAUGCCAUCAGAGGGUUUCUGGUUUACUCUUUCUCACUUUGUAUCUCAGAAGGUGAUGGUGGCAAGAUGGUACCUCAGAAGGUGAAAACUUGUUCCGUCUGUCUCUGUCAUCAACAAUUCAAUUUCUGCUGUCAUUUCUCAUGUGACCAGAUAAUGGAGCUUGCCGGAGCUCACCCUAAGUCAUAGGUGACUCCGUGUGGUGGAAAAAUCUCUCCUUCAACCUGGGCUUUCAAAGAAAGGCUCAGAAGUCCUCUCUUGUCCAGUCUCAAGGUAGUUUAUUGCAAGUUAUCUAAAAGAUUUUCUUCUCAGGCUGCUGCAGUUUGCUCAGCAGCUCCGGCAAUGGCACACACACACCGUGACAUACUUUCCGACUCCCGUCUUCUUCUUCUUUCCCUCCGCCCAGGGCUGGUGCUAUCUUUUAUAUGGUACAUUACGUAUUAAAUGUUUAUAGUUUUUCCCCAAUGCCUAUUACCUAUAUUAAAUGGUGCCUUUCUACUCUAAACCAAUCUGUGAGUGCCAACAUCACCAAGAACAUGGAGGUAAGGAAGAAGAAAGAGAGAGGACAGGGCAGGCCCAAAUCCCUCCAUCUUAAAACUUCUGACCCCCAUGUACAAAACCAAAACCCCCUGUACAGCACUCAAAAAUUCUUCCCUUUACUUUGUGACUACUUCUACUAUAAUAUCUAAACUUUUGUGACUUCUUGUUCUUCCUGCAAGGUUGGUAAAUCAUUCCGUGGUUCAAAUCCAAAAUCACAGCUGUUUCCAGCUGCCUGACAGGGCCUCAAAUGCUUCUGACCUGGGCCUGGAAUAUCCAAAAAUGUCUGAGGGACCUUUUGAGUUCCGACAGGAGCUAAAUCAGGGUGUUGGAAAUCUAAGAGUCAACUUGCUGUGUUGCUGAGCCUACCUCUGUUUAUUGCUACUGUACUGAUUCCUCCAGGCAGAAUCUCACAGAGAGUUGUUUGGGUUCUUUCCUAUUUAAACACAUAUGCAGGUAAGAGUAAAUGGAAUGAAUUUUCAUCCUGCGGAGUAAACCCGUGCCUGCAGAAGGGCCUUUUCUUUCUCUGAUAUCUAAUCCUUUCCUUUGGCAAAGUAAAUAAUGAGACACUUCUACAGAUCUGAUUAAGCCCUGAGUCCCUUUUUAAAUGACAGAAGAUCAAUACUAUUACUAAAUCCAUUAAACAAUUCUUCACACUUCAGUUGUGUUCUCUCUAGGAUAUAUGAGAAAGAACAGAAGGGUAUUUUGGCUAUUAUAUAGGAAAUGCAUGAUAAAGCCUCUUCUUGUGUUCCACUUUCUCUCCCUGGCUCUAAGCCAUCCAUAUCUUCCAAGCUCCCCAUCCCUUGAAUCUGGCUUACAGGUCAGAAAUAGCCAGAGACCUGGGAUACAGGAGAGAUCUUUCAGUCUCCCAAGCCAGACUUGAAUCUGUCAGUAGUAUCUGGAAGAUCUGGUUGUUUGUUUAAUUCUGAUGACAAAUUGGCUGAAAUAGAUCUAAGUUUCUGGUUUAGUUUUUGAUUUAGUGUCUGUUUUUUGCUGAUGCUCCAGCCUUCUGGUCAUCUUCACGGCCCUUCUCUGGACCUGCUCCAACACAUCCAUGUCCUUCUUAUGCUGGGGACUCCAGAGCUGGAUGCAGUACUCCAGGUGGAGGGGGGUUAAGAAAGCAGAGUAGAGAGGGAUUAAUUUCCUUCCCAAGCCAAGGCAGAGAAAGCUUUUCCUGUGUGAUUUGAUGAAGAACAGAGACAGCUCUAAAGCUCCCACACUGCAGGCUGGGCUCUGUGAAUGUGGGUAUCUUUUUACAAGCAGGAAUCUGAGGCACAGAAUCUCCUUCCAAUUUUUAAAAUUUGCUGCAAAAAGUUUUGGUGUCCACAACAUGAUAUGUCUGUGAGGACUUAGCAGUUCUAACCAUUUCUCCUGUCAAGAAAACCAGUAUUGAUGUGACAAGACAGUGCCUCCCAGCCAGUAGUACUUACUAUUUCUAGAGCCAUUACCAUCAGUAAUGGUAAGUACUAAAAAACUGGGGUCCACUUUCUCCACCAGAAAUGAUCCCUCCAAAUGAGGCAGUCCUUGAGUAUCUCAAAAGUUAAAGGCAAAGUGAUACAAUAAUUUGAAAAUGAAGUAUGCAGCCCAACACGCAUCUGUGCUUGUCCAUGCUCUGAUGUCACCAGCAACCAACCUGAGAGCUCCAUCUGCAUCCUGCUCUCUGCAACCACUCUGUAAUUAUGUCUCAUUGUACAUCAUUUUUGUUCAACAACUUGCUGGCUGUUUUUCACAUCAAAUGAAUUAUUCAGCAGCAGACUCUGUUCUUAAUCAUAACAACAGCAGCACUAAUGCUUCAUGCUCAUAGGGUCCCUUCAGAAGUAUGCUGGAAAUGUUAUUUGUUGAAUUCUUCCAUACUCUGCCACAGAAAAUGGGGCUUGUUCAAUGAAGUGAGAAGUGGGGCUCAGCACAGCUCUCUGACAUGGACUAAGUGAGAGUGUAGAACUAGGAGACAAGUCCAGCCUCCACCACCCUACACAACCUUUCUUCCCCUCUGAUCCACUUUCAGCACUGUACCCAAUCUGUCAGAUCCUCAGCUAUUCUGAUUGUCAUUAUUUCCUUCAAUGCCUUGGGGAGAUACCAAUAUUUGUUUCUUAUAUGUUGAUUAAAGACAGAAACACUGUGCAUUUCAACCCAUGACCUACCAAGCCAAGUCCUUGGCUUUCUCUUGCUAGGAAAGAGCAAACAGCAAGCCAGACAUUCAGAAUGUCUGAAUGUCACUUGUCUUUCUGGACAAUGUCUUUCUGGAUGUCACUGAACUUCUCACUACCUGUGAGUACAGAAUAAAAAUCUAUGAAGAGAAGCCGAGCCAUUAUCUUCACUGAAAAAGGUACAAACUUCAAUAAGCAUUUUCUUCCUUUUUUUUUUUUUUCUUCCAUCUUUUAUGAUCAGUUUUCAAUUCUGUUGAGCAUCACCUGGUUGUCUCUUCAUGGUCAGGUGCAUGAGCUGCUAAAAAACCAAGACACACAGGAGAUUUGGUAAUUCACAUCUAUGGGCUGCACUGCCUGUGACCUUUGCUUAGAAGGUUUUGAAAGAACAUGAAUCUUCUGC